rnacentral:lncRNA from 1 species
CCGGGAUCAGAAGGUGACGCCUCUCUGGCCACACGUCUUAAGGUCACGACUUCUAAUCCCAGCUCCCUCUUAUUUCUGGAAGCAGUGGUAGAAACAUGUAAAAUGCAAGUAGAACUUUAGAGCUGAAAGGUACAUUAGCAUCCCACCUGGUUUGGAGGACAGUUACCAUCUACCGGAAAACACGAAGGCCCCUUCAUGCAAGGCAGAUGUGCCUUGGGCACUGGAAGGAAAACAUCCCUCGGGUCCCGCCCAGUUGUUCCGGCUUUAUCACAGUGACUGCUGACAAAGCCUUUACUUCACAAAGCAACAAAGCACACAGCAGCCAAAAAAUCCAGUGAAAUCAGGAUCUUGGAAAGGAUGUAAGGAAGCAAGACUUGUGCACAGGGGACUUGUCACUCAUUCAGUUCUACCCCACAGGGGGGCAAUGAGGGAGGUUUGGCUCCUGGAAGAGGCUAAGUGCAGGAAUGCUGGAUUCUGCUCUCAGCCUGCCUGGGGUCCACAACCUUGCCUGAACUCUGCAGCCGGAAUUUCCUCACUGGCCCUAAAGAAGGGCUUGUCAGUAGCUGAACAGAAUGCUAAAUCGGCAAUUGUGUAUAGGAAACCACAUAAUAAAGCUAGUAAAAAGGAAAUGAGAGAUCAACCAUAAAUAAAGAUUCC